UAAAUUUGCUAACAUUAUAUCAAAUCAGUGAUGUCUAACAUUAUGUUUAUUACACAGCAAAUGAACCAAUCAGAAGAUGGACCAUUUUCUAUGUUCACCAUUCAGAAGACUCUCUGCCAUUGCAGUCCCACAUGACCAGGAAGGUACCUAACAUCAGCGCACAGCUACUUCACUGCAGACAAGCUGAAGGCUAAAUCCUCAAUUGGAGUCUUUCUCUCUAUGGAUCUCAGCAUUUUUGGACAGAAUUUAGAAUAUUGUUGGAACCCGGGAUCUCCACUGAAGGACUGAGUACAUUUGUGUUUGAGGACACGCAUACAGACCAGGGAACAUUCUGAUGUUGGCAAAGUUCUGAGCAGGAUCCAGUCUUCGGAGAAGUUCAUUUAUUCCCAAAGGUGGACAAAAACAUUGUGUUGGCUUUUAAAAGGCUAUUUUGAUAAUGACUUUUACUCCUAUGCUGUGGAAAAGAUGGAGGAGUACAGACAUUGCUAAUAAGAAAUCUUUCAAAAUACUUUUGGCUACCAGUGUACAUCAAUCCAGCAAAGUUUGGAAAAAAGUGAAAUGACUAUGAAGGUGGGGUUAUGUGUCAUGUUACCUAAUGAGAUGAAACUAACUUUUUUGUCUUGUGUUGGACAUUUCCUUUUUGACUGCUUAAAAUUGUAUGUAUAUAUAUAUUCUGCAGUUCUAUGUAAUUGUUGAUAUUUCAUCAUAAUAAAU